rnacentral:rRNA from 1 species
CCUACGGGAGGCUGCAGUGAGGAAUAUUGGUCAAUGGACGAGAGUCUGAACCAGCCAAGUAGCGUGAAGGAUGACUGCCCUCUGGGUUGUAAACUUCUUUUAUAAAGGAAUAAAACGAGGCACGUGUGCCUUUUUGCAUGUACUUUAUGAAUAAGGAUCGGCUAACUCCGUUCCAGCAGCCGCGGUAAUACGGAGGAUCCGAGCGUUAUCCGGAUUUAUUGGGUUUAAAGGGAGAGUAGAUGGGUUGUUAAGUCAGUUGUGAAAGUUUGCGGCUCAACCGUAAAAUUGCAAUUGAUACUGGCAGUCGUGAGUACAGUUGAGGUAGGCGGAAUUCGUGGUGUAGCGGUGAAAUGCUUAGAUAUCACGAAGAACCCCGAUUGCGAAGGCAGCUUACUAAACUGUGACUGACAUUGAUGCUCGAAAGUGUGGGUAUCAAACAGGAUUAGAUACCCCGGUAGUC